GACGAACGCUGGCGGCGUGCCUAACACAUGCAAGUCAACUUGACGGAAGGAGCAAUCUGACCGUAGAGUGGCGCAAGGGUGCGUAACGCGUAAGUAACUUGCCCCAAGGUAAGGAAUAACGUCGAGAAAUCGGCGCUAAUACCUCAUAAUGCAGCGGAUCCGCAUGGAUAUGUUGUUAAAGGUUUACCGCCUUGGGAUAGGCUUGCGUCUGAUUAGCUAGUUGGUGUGGUAACGGCACACCAAGGCUACGAUCAGUAACUGGUCUGAGAGGAUGAUCAGUCACACUGGAACUGAGACACGGUCCAGACUCCUACGGGAGGCAGCAGUGAGGAAUAUUGGGCAAUGCUCGAAAGAGUGACCCAGCAACGCCGCGCGGAGGAUGAAGGUAUUCUAUAUCGUAAACUCCUGUGAGAGCAGACGAAAGACAGAUUAUAAUCUGGAUGACUGUAUGCUCAGAGGAAGCCCCGGCUAACUACGUG
rnacentral:rRNA from 1 species